GCUCAGUCGGUUGAGUGUCCGACUUCGGCUCAGGUCACGAUCUCGUGUUUGAACCAAGAGGUCCAACUCAAGGAUGGCAGGCAGAGAAUGCAGCAUUCCAACUGGGGCAACAAUCAAGAUCCAUCUGUCUUCUGCAUGGGCCAAAUAGACAAGAUAAAUGAAGAAGUAAUAGGUAUCACCAUCCAUGCAUCUUUCAAGCCCUUGAUGGGAGCGGUAAUCUCUGUAGUUACCCUAUAUAUUCAAUAUUGCUUUUGGUUUAUAAA